UACGUAAGUGGCGAGCGUUAUCCGGAAUCACUGGGCGUAAAGCGUUCGUAGGCGGCGCGGAUAGUUGGAUUUGAAAGCCCGGGGCUUAACUCCGGAUCCGGAUCCAAAACUCCCGUGCUUGAGCAUAUCAGAGGGCAGUGGAAUUCCCGGUGUAGCGGUAAUAUGCGUAGAUAUCGGGAGGAACACCAGUGGCGAAGGCGGCUGCCUGGGGUAUUGCUGACGCUGAGGAACGAAAGCCAGGGGAGCGAACGGG
rnacentral:rRNA from 1 species